UACGUAGGGGGCAAGCGUUGUCCGGAAUUACUGGGCAUAAAGAGCACGUAGGUGGUGCGCUAAGUCACGUGUGAAAUCCCCCGGCUCAACCGGGGAAUGGCGCGUGAUACUGGCGGACUCGAGGCGGGUAGGGGUGAGCGGAACUCCAGGUGGAGCGGUGAAAUGCGUAGAUAUCAGGAGGAACACCGAUGGCGAAGGCAGGUCUCUGGGCUGACACUGACGCUCAUGCACGAAAGCGUGGGGAGCAAACAGG
rnacentral:rRNA from 1 species